UACGAAGGGGGCUAGCGUUGCUCGGAAUCACUAGGCGUAAAGCGCACGUAGGCGGAUUGCUAAGUCAGGGGUGAGAUCCUGGAGCUCAACUCCAGAACUGCCCUUGAUACUGGCGGUCUCGAGUCCGGGAGAGGUGAGUGGAACUGCGAGUGUAGAGGUGAAAUUCGUAGAUAUUCGCAAGAACACCAGUGGCGAAGGCGGCUCACUGGCCCGGUACUGACGCUGAGGUGCGAAAGCGUGGGGAGCAAACAGG
rnacentral:rRNA from 1 species